CUUGAAGAGGGGAGAAGGGUGGGAGGAGAGUGGUCUUUUUGAAAACUGCAUCGAUGCACUAAUGCACUGAAAUCUGAGCUCUUAUUGGAUCUGAAGGGCAGCCUGAGACAGCCAUCCUCCAGCAUCUACCCCUGUUUAAAGGGAUUGCUUUCAUUCAGAGAAGGAGAGGCGAAAAAGCCUUCCAGCAGAGCCCAGUCCGGCUCAGCUCGUCUCCCCGUGUGCCCGUCUUGCCUCGUCUCUGCUGAGGCCAGCUGACCGGUCCUUUCGGGCUGACCAGCCACCAGCCAGACCGGCGGCUCUCCUGUACCGGCGCUGUUGGACCGUGAUGCAGGCGGGAGCAGCCGACUGCCAAGUGGCCUCUGACAUUUGCUGUGGAGAAGAGGGGAUGUGCUCUGCCCUCUUGUUCCGCUGCGAUCAAGCUUCAGGGUCCUGACCUGCCUCUGAAAGGAAACAGUCAAGUCAGAUCGUGUCCGUAAACUACAGAGCGGCCCCUGAUGUGGAUCCUCCUUUGGGAAGUCAUUUGUCACCAAUUCCCAGGAGGACUAAGACAUUACAGUGGUGGAAUAUAACCUUCUAUAUAACACAUCAUCAUCGCCACUUCAAGCUUCUACACCACGCCUUAAAGUCAUGUGAUUUAAUUCUAAACACUGCAGACUGAUUUAGUACAUCAUUUGACCAAUUGUCAUCUGUUUAACAAAUCUUAAAGAUGAAUAAAUUGGACACUUCCUUGAACUGUUUGAAGUUCAGAAGAAUGAUUUUUGUUGUGUCUGGAAAACAAGAACAAACAGUUUUGUGAAAUGUCUUCUUUAAAAGGCAAAUCCAAAUGUCAGAGAGACAGAUACACUGAAAGCGCUGCCUUUUGGGCGUCGAGCAGAAAAACUUCAGAAUAAUAUUUUUUUCCCAGUUGGAACGAACUGCAAUUACCCAUCAUGAAACAUAAAGCAGAGUGUUUGCACUUUCAUAGCCUGAGGAGGAACAUGGUCUCUGUUUGCCAAAACACACAAAGGAGACUCAGGAAAAGCAAUGAAGGAGUGUUAUUGAGAUCAGAUUUACUAAAUUUAUGUUGCUGUCAUUAGUCAGAUAAUAAAAUCUGCUGACAACUUAUUUAUAAACUACUGUGUAUAAAGGAGUAGUUCCAAAUUCUGAGGUUUAAUUUUUUCCAACAUAAUGGUAAACAUAUAACACAACGUGAGAUAUGAAAAUCUUUGUUAAUCUCUAUGAAUUUUUUAGACAAAAAGUGGCUCAAAAGUAACAUGAAUAAAAUUAAACAUUCCAUCCUAUUUUAUGUUUUUUUCCUUUUCUGAUUCAUGACACAACAGAGGAAUAUGUACAACGUUGUAAUUAAAUGGAAGGGAAAAUAUUGAGGUUAUCAUUUAGGUUCAUUAAAAUACUAACAUACGUUUUAUUCCGAGCUUCUCUAAGAAGUUGACAUAAAGGCUGAAGGUGCCGUAACACAGAGCUACACCCUGCUUGACUGGUUUGAUAGUUUUUCUUUUCUUGUUUUGAAAAAUGGGUUUACAAAUCCAAUAUUUCAUAAGCCCAUAUAACUUUGAAGUGUUUUAUUUCAUUUGACUUUUGUGUAUGCAACCAACAAACAAUGUGAAAAUACUCAUGUCAUAAUUUAACCCUUGACUGUGACCACGUUAAACGCAGCAGCAGUGAGCCUUAAGUGCACACUGCACACCUACUUAUUUGUUUUUGAUAUUUUUCUAUUACUGUCUCACGGUGCCACAUGCAGGCCUGGUUAAUUACUGGCUUUGUUCUUGCUAAGUAUUUUUGAAAGGACAAAUAAAUGAAUGAUUAUUUUAGAAAAACUCUCCAGGAAGAAGUUUGUGGACAUAGACUUUAAUGCUUCAAACUUGACCUGUGAAACAAGUCUGAAUGUUUGUGCCUGUUUUUAAAAUGUAAAACAUAAUGUCUGACUAUUGGUAUUUAUUUACUGGUUUAUAAUCUUUCUGUAUCUCCUGUAUGUAAGAGCCACAUAUUUUUUUGAAGUACUGGUCAGCGAGGAAGACCGCAAGCUAAAUAAUCAAAUAUAAAAAGUUCUAAUGUUCACAGCUCUUUAUAUAACUAAGUCUGUGCACUAAUACAGAAUUACAAAUGAGUUCAAUAUUGCAUCCAUGACAAUGAUUUUUUUUUUCCUAACUUGUGAAACAAUGAUCUCGUGUGGGUUUACAUCAAUCCCCGGCUGAAUGUCUGUCAUUUCAGUUUAGUUUUUAUAAAGUAAUUGUCAUAAUUCUUGAUGUUUGUCCUUUAUAACAGUAAUGCAGUUUAUGAAUUAUGAUACAUCUUUGAAUAAUUUACCAUUUAAGGGAAUUUGCACUGGACACGUUUAUUUCUUUUGUUGGCUGGAAGUAAACAAGUUAAUCUGCUUAAAAUUUGUUAGAUCAUUUCAUGAAUAAAUGAUGAAAAUCCCAUAUAUUUAUCCUGAAUCAGUUAGAAAGGGUUCAGUCUGAAUUUGGAGGAAAUUUCUUCAGAAAAGUGAAAAUCUCUGGGU